rnacentral:lncRNA from 1 species
CGCACACACGCACGUACACACACGUAGAAAGCGAGAGAGGGGGGUGAAGAGACAGACAGACAGACAGACGAGCAGACAAACAGACAGACAGACAAUGACAUGAGACGUUAUUUGGAAAAGAUCGACCUCAGCUGGGUUCGAUCGCCGAUCGCUUAUCGAGAAACGGUGGUGUGUCACGCGGACAGCAGUCGGAGGCAGUAUUCGAACCUGGUGCAUCUCAGGCCGAGGAUGACCGCGGUCAGUCACACGGAACGGGUCGUGGUCGCCGUUAGGAACGACGGGGGCCCCGCGACGGCGGAGGAGCAGCGACGUGAACCUGCGACCUGGGUGAGCACGGCCCACCUCGACGUCGAGGAAUGCUGCACUUGGUUUAAGACUACACUGGACGUCAAGGCCAAAACCAUUACCCUGACCAAAACACCGAAACAUCGCUGACGGCCAAGAGUAAGAGAAAGAUUCUUCUAAUUCCAUUUUAUCCUAUCACUCAUUCCGACAUACAUACAUACAUUAUAUACAUACAUAUAUACAAAAAUAUAUAUAUACAUACAUAGGAACGUACAUACAUACAUACAUACGUACAUACAUACAUAUAUACAUACAGAUAUAUACGUACAUACUACAUACAUAUAUACAUACAUACAUACAUAUAUACAUACAUACAAAAAUAUACGUACGUACAUACAUACACACACAUACAUACAUACGUACAUACAUACAUACAUACAUAUAUACAUACAUACACACACACAUACAUACAUACUUUCAUACAUACAUACUUUCAUACAUACAUACAUACAUACAUACAUACAAAAAUAUAUACAUACAUAGGAACGUACGUACAUACAUACAUAGACAUAUACAUACAUACAUAUAUACAUACACACAUACAAAAAUAUAUACAUACAUACAUAGGAACGUACGUACACACAUACAUACACACACACAUACACACACAUACAUACGUACGUACAUACAUACAUACAUACAUACAUACAUACAUACAAUCACACGUCCAUCCAUACAUAAAUACAUCCAUACAUACGUUCAUACAUACUACAUACAUACAUACGUACGUACGUACAUACAUGGAUGCGUGCAUGAGCAUGUAUGUAUGUAUGUAUAUGUAUGUGUCCGUCUGUGUCUGUGUGUCCGUGUGUGUGUGUGUCCGUCUGUGUGUGUAGACUUUGGUUUUGCCCAGCCAGAAAGUUUCUAUUCCGCUUCCGAGGUCGACUUUGCCUUUCAUCCUUUCGGGGUCGAUAAAUUAAGUACCAGUUACGCACUGGGGUCGAUGUAAUCGACUUAAUCCCUUUGUCUGUCCUUGUUUGUCCCCUCUGUGUUUAGCCCCUUGUGGGUAAUAAAGAAAUAAGAAAGUUACUAUUCGUUUUAUAUCUAUUAUUGCUAAGGGCAAUAAAAUAGACGUGAAUAUAUAUAUAUAUAUAUAUAUAUAUAUAUAUAUAUAUAUAUAUAUAACAAAAGGGACAUUAGCCAUUUGAAUGUGGCUAGGGACAGGGCAGGGCGGUGGAGGUGUUACUGAUGCAGUUAGCCCCAGGUGCCCUGUCCCUAGCCACAUUCAAAUGGCUAAUGUCCCUUUUGUUAUGGAGCAGUUACUGUCUAUAUCUCGUUUAGAGAAUUAUUAUUGCUAUAUAUAUAUAUAUAUAUAUAUAUAUAUAUAUAUAUAUAUAUAUACUAGCAGUAUCGCCCGGCGUUGCUCGGGUUUGUAAGGGAAAUAACUAUAUCAGCAUUUUUAGAGAGUUAUAGCCAAAAAAUAGCAAAAAAAUGCAUUAAAAAUGGGGAAAAAAUGAUGGUAAUUUUUUUAAAUCGUUGACCCAUCGUAGACAUUUUUAGAGAGUUACUUCCCUUAUAUAAAAGCGAAAAAAUGCAUUAAAAUGGAAAAAAAUGAUGAUAAAUUAUUUUUUAAAUCGUACACUCAUCGUAGACGCGCGCUAAUACCCAGAAGGGCUAGAUAUGAAUCACGACUAUAAGAUACCCGCUUUUGGUUACACUGCACCGCAAAAUGUGGGAGUAGUUAGGAAUCUAAAUCGUAGGAGACAGACACACAACUUCACUUUUAUAUAUAAAGAUAUAUAUAUACAUAUAUAUAUAUAUAUAUAUAUAGAUAUAUAUAUAAUUAAUUAAUUAAUUAAUCUUAGGGUAGCAAAAAAAUUUUAGAAAAAUUCUUUGCUCCCAGUGGUCUAGCAAGAAGAAAAAAUUAGUCAAUUAAUUAUAGUCAAUAUUCACAUAGAAAAUACAGUGUACAUUUAAACAUAUAAGAGGUGGCCAUAACAGGACAUCUGACUCGCUAGAAAGAGUAGUUAAACUGCAAACCACUAAAUAGGGGUAAUUUCGAAAGGGAAUGAAAAGUAAAAUAAGGGUAAAUGUUUUUUAUUUUUCAUUCCCUUUCGAAAUGACCACCAUUUAGUGGUUUGCAGUUUAACUAGUCUUUCUAGCGAGUCAGACGUCCUGCCAUGGCCGUCUCUUAUGUGCUUAACUGUACACUACUUUUACAUGUAUGUAUGUAUAUUAUAUAUAUAUAUAUAUAUAUAUACACACACACACUUGACGUGGCCUUGAUUUUUUACCUUCUUUUUUUUCGUUUCUCCUCUUUUCUCUUUUUCCUCGUUUUUCUUUUUUAAGGACCAUAUCGGUUUACAAAAUAAUGACAGCAAUGCGAAUUCAAAAUACACACACACAUACAUACUUAUAUAUAUAUAUAUAUAUAUAUACACACACACACAAUCUCAGAUUUGUCUAUGUGUGUAUAUACAUACACGCGCACGUGCUUGUGUGUGAGCGCGUCAGAUUGUCUGCACGUAUGCGUUGGUAGUAUAUAUAUACAUAUAUAUGUACAUAUAUAUAUACAUAUAUAUGCAUAUAUAUAUAUAUAUAUAUAUAUAUAUAUAUAUAUAUAUACAUAUAUAUACAUAUAUGGUGGUGCUAUUAAGUUAGACAUGGCCUGGACCAAUCUUUGGUCGAGACAUAUCUAUUUAUAUAUACAUAUAUAUACGAAAUAUACGAACAUAAUCUUUUGUGGAGAAUGGCGAUUUGACGUCUAUAUCUAGCAUGUUGACUGUCCACUUUUCGUGUCCAGUCCUUAAUUGGUAUAUAUAAAUAUUUUAAUCUUCGGAUUCUUUUUUAAUAUGCUAGACCACUGGUCUUAAUUGAUGAAUAUCAAUUUCUACCCUUAAUUAAUUUUAUACAUAUAUAUACAUACAUAUAUAUAUAUUUAUAUAUAUAUAUAUAUAUUUAUAUAUCGACUUUGACUUCCAUCCUUUCGGGGUCGAUGAAAUCGACUAGUCACCUCCCACCCAAUUUCAGGCCCUUGUGCCUUUUAUAGAAAUGAUUACUAUUAUUAUCAUUAUUAUUAUUAUUACUGAGUGAGAGAGCAGUGCAUGCCAUCAAAGUGACACUGGGGUAAAAUAUACGAAGCCCAAUAUACCCAUCAUGACUACCCGUCUGAUAAGGGUACACCAGGCACAUGCAUCACAACCAGAUGUGCGCGACAUGGUGAUCUCGUAUCAAGAUAAACAGCACAUGACCUUGCAGGUGGGGCCCAGUUAGAAUUUUCUUCAGAUUGAGUAGCCCAUCCCGCUCAAAAGGAUUAUUAUUAUUAUUAUUAUUAUUAUUAUUAUUAUUGAGUGAGAGAGCAGUGCAUGCCAUCAAAGUGACACUGGGGUACAAAUAUACGAAGCCCAAUAUACCCAUCAUGACUACCCGUCUGAUAAGGGUACACCAGGCACAUGCAUCACAACCAGAUGUGCGCGACAUGGUGAUCUCAUAUCAAGAUAAACAGCACAUGACCUUGCAGGUGGGGCCCAGUUAGAAUUUUCUUCUGGUCGAGUAACCCAUCCCACUCAAAAGGUCCCUGAAUAAGGGUUGUUUAAGGAUGUUGAACGAAACACCCAUGUUUCCAGAGGUGAAUUAUUCAAACCCCAAAGAAUUCCUCUCAACACACGGCUAUGAUGCUCCCCCAAACCCUAAGUACCAGUUGACCACUGGGGUCAUUGUAAUCGACUAUCCCACUGACCCCAAAUUUCAGGACUUGUAUAUAUAGUAGAAAGGAUUAUUAUUAUUAUUAUUAUUGAGUGAGAGAGCACUGUGUGCCAUCAAAGUGACACUGGGGUAAAAUAUACAAAGCCCAGUAUACCCAUCAUGACUACCCGUCUGAUAAGGGUACACCAGGCACAUGCAUCACAACCAGAUGUGCGCGACAUGGUGAUCUCGUAUCAAGAUAAACAGCACAUGACCUUGCAGGUGGGGCCCAGUUAGAAUUUUCUUCAGGUUGAGUAGCCCAUCUCGCUCAAAAGGAUUAUUAUUAUUAUUAUCAUUAUCAUGCCGUCAAAGUGUCUCUGGGGCAAAAUAUACGAAACCCGGUAUACCCAUCAUGACUACCCGUCUGAUAAGGGUACACCAGGCACAUGCAUCACGACAAUAUGUGCACCACACGGUGAUUUCAUAUCAAGAUAAACAGCACAUGACCUUGCAGGUGGGGCCCAGUUAGAAUUUUCUUCAGGUCGAGUAACCCAUCCCGCUCAAAAGGUCCCUGAAUAAGGGUUGUUUAAGGAUAUUGAACAAACCACACGUGUUCCCAGAGGUGAAUUAUCCAAACCUCCAAGAAUCCCUUUCAACGCACAGGGGUCGAUAUAAUCGACUUAAUCCGUCUGUCUGUCCUUGUUUGUCCCCUCUGUGUAUAGCCCCUUGUGACCAAUAAAAAGAAUUAAUUAUUAUUAUAAAUUAUUACUAUUAUUUCUCCCUUUUCCUCUUUAAAUUAAAUUAUUUGGUGUUAUUAACUCAAUGACGUGCCUCUCCUUAUCUGAUUCACCACUUAAUUAACUGUAGCUAAUUACUUAAAGAGCUUCAUUAAAUAGUUUCUCCUACACACACACACAACUGUUGGACGGGGACGACGUAAGAAACCUGUACGAGGUCAUGCUCUUUGCUAGAAAUACUAGCCAAAGGCCCGUCAUAUCGCGUGUACAUGUGCUUAAAGGAAGGACAUGUUGGAUAAUACGGUCACGGACAUAUAUGUAUAUGUGUAUAUAUAUAUAUAUAUAUGGUAAUUGUUCAGUUUGGUUUGAUUAAAAAAGUAAAUAAAAAUUAAGGGGGAGAUAAGUAGUGAAUGACGGAAAGGGUUGAAUCAAUUUUAGAGAAAUUGUGGACUAUAAUUCAACUAGCAGUAUAGCCCGGCGUUGCUCGGGUUUGUUUCGACCCUUUAGAAUUGGAAUUUUUGAAAAUUAAAAAUUUUGCAUUAUGUAGCAUGUUGUUCUCUUUAAGUGAACAUUUUUCUGGUUGAAAUACACCGAAAAAUGGCGACAUAGCAGUCAAAAAAUCGUAAAAAAAAAGCACCUUUUUGAUGUAAAUAAUUUUUGGUGUUAACAUGGUCUGAUUUGAAUUUUUUCUUCUACGGAAGGAAGAGCAAGCCUUCUUCUAUCAUACUCUAAAUUUUGGUCAACUUGUGCCGCAGGGUCUCGGAGGAGAUAGUGUUAGUUGAAGGUUACCAAACCUGCCAUACACAGAUAACUUCAGCUUUAUAUAUAGAGAGAUUAGGAAAAGCUGGAGACAACAUUCUUCAGUGGUUGGCACGGCGUCAGCUAAUUAUGAAUAUGUACACCUGCGAAAAUUGUAAUUCCCCAUGUGGCCUUACUACAUGGGCUGAAGUUACUGAUGAAAAAUUAUAACACUGCAAUCGUUGUAAAAUGAGCAAAUCUCUUCAUUACUGUUCAUUUUUUAAGAGAAGUCAUAUUUUGUCAGUGUUUAUGUGUUUGUGACCUCGUGUGUACCGUUGGCGAUUAUUUUCCCCUCUGUCUUCCCUUCUCUGGAUCUUUCCUUCUCCUAGGUUUCCGACGAAGAGCUCCGCUCGAAACGUUAAACCUUCCUUCUUUCCUGACCGUCCAAUAAUACUAUAUUUCUUCAACGUCCUCGCGUUGUUGUGUUUUCAUGUUUGGAUUAACUAUAUAUAUAUAUAUAUAUAUAUAUGCUUUCAAAAUGUGACUUCGUGUGUACCGUUGGCGAUUUUUUUUUUCCUCUGUCUUCCCUUCUCUGGAUCUUUCCUUCUCCUAUGUUUCCAAUGAAGAGCUCCGCUCGAAACGUUAAACCCUCCUUCUUCCAUUCUUUCCUGAGCGUCCAAUAAUACUAUAUUUGUUCCAUGUCCUCGCGUUGUUGUGUUUUUGUGCUUUCUUGUUUGGAUUAACUUUAUAUAUAUAUAUAUAUGGGGGCAAUGGCCCAGUGGUUAGGGCGGUUUCGAUUCCCAGACUGGGCGUUAUGAGUGUUUAUUGAGUGAAAACAUCUAAAGCUCCACGAGGCUCCAGCAGGGGGUGGCAGCGAUCUCUGCUGUACUCUUUCGACACAGCUUGGCCUGCUCUUAUAAAAAUAUAUUUUUCUAAAACAUAUAUGUUUUAUAAAAAUAUUUUUGAUUUAUUUAUGUAUUGGUUUAUGUCUAUUACUGUUUGAGUUGCAUAAUAGUGGUUUUGUCUCUAAUUUAUAUAUAUAUAUAUAUAUAUAUAUAUAUAUAUAAUUAUUAUUUGAGGGAAUAAAAUCCAAAGUUACAAGGAAAAAAUUCAAUUUACAAAUACUGAAUCAAAUUUCACACAAUAUAAUAUAUAUAUAAAAUAUUCUACCUAUUUAUAUACGUUUCUAUUAUUAUUUUAUUUUUGCAAUUUACUUAAUCAUUGACAUUUUUAUUGUUACGAGGGACGUUCAAUAAGCAAUGCCCCUGACCCACUUGCAGUUGUUUGAUCUAGCUGAAAUUUUGCAUGUGCAAUCAUUUAUAUCUCUAUAGAUUAAGUGGCAAAUUACAGCUCUGAAAUAAUUGUGGUUUCUGAUUUACAGGUGUUUGAACUAAGUCAAGUGUGAAAUGGAGCCAGUUGAGUGUUGAGCAGUGAUCCGGUUUUUGUAUUUGAAAGGACGCACACCACUUGAGACUUUUGAUGAAAUGAAAGUAACUUAUGGUGAUGAUGCCCCAUCAUAUGACCUUGUAAAACGCUGGCAUCGUGAAUUCAAACAUGGUCGGAACUCUGUGGAAACAGCUCCCUGAUCAGGUCACCCCACUUCUGCCAUUGAUGAGACAUCUGUACAUCAAGUUGAGGCUGCCAUUUUGGAAGAUCGACGCAUAACUAUUCGCCAAAUAGCCCAUGAGGUCAAGAUUAGUACCGGGUCUGUGGAAACUAUCAUUCAUGACCAUUUGCAUAUGCAAAAGGUGUCUGCCAGAUGGAUUGCCAGGUUGCUCACACCUUUCCAGAAGCAAGAACGCGUCGAGUGCUCGAGGAUGAAUUUGGAGAUGUGCCAAGAAGAUGAGUCAAAAUUUUUCAAAAGACUGAUUACACAGGAUGAAACCUGGGUCCAUCUCUAUGAUCCAGAGACCAAAGCCCAGUCAAUGCAGUGGAAGCACCGUGACUCACCCCCUCCAAAAAGGCAAGGGUGCAGCCCUCCGCUGGCAAGGUCAUGCUCACAGUCUUCCGGGACCAGGACGGAGUAGUGAUAACAGAUUUCCUGGCAAAGGGUACCACAAUUGCAGGAGCCUAUUAUGCUUCACUUUUGAGGAAAUUAAGAGAAGCUAUCAAAAUCAAGAGGCGGGGCAAGAUCAGCAAAGGCAUCCUCCUCCUGUAAUUUUCUAGUUGGUGUAAUUUAAUUGUUCAUUUUGAAUUGAUAAAAGGCGGAUUUUUUUCCUAAUUUAUAAAUUAUAUAUAUACACACACAUAUAAUGUUGACCGUUCUUCAUAUUUUAUUUUCCAGCGAUUCCUGACCAAUGAUAGACAGAUUUACCUUUAGCCGUGUUUUGGACAGUGGUGGUAGCCAGAAUCAUCGUCUUGCCAGGUUUGACCAAAAAUGGACUGACACCUAUUUCAGCCAUAUUCGACUACAAGGGACCAACCCCCUAUUCAGCCACAUUUGACCAUGUUUGACCAUCAAUGGACCAACCCUGUUUUAUCUCAGGUUGAUCAACAUGGGUCGCAGUUGGCCUCCCUGGGUACUGUUUAUAGGGAUUUUCAGCAGAUGUGGGUGGGUCUGGUUUGGCCAUGUUGGUGGAUAGCUUCUUUAACCCUUUUCAUACCAAUCCAUCUGAGCCACAUUUGACCAUGUUUGACCAUCAAUGGACCAACCCUGUUUUAGCUCAGGUUGAUCAACAAUAAAUUGACCACUAUUUCAGCCAUAUUUGACCCUAUUUUAGCUCUGUUUGAUCCACAAUGGAUUGUCCCCUAUUUCAACCAUUUUUGGUCAACAAUAUAGCAACUCCUAUCUCAACCAUAUUUGACCAUCAAUGGACCGACCCCCUUUUCAGCCAUAUUUGACCCUAUUUUAGUGGACUGAUAUUAUUUUAGCUCUGUUUGAUCCGCAAUGGAUUGUCCCUUAUUUCAAUCAUUUUUGGCCAACAAUGGAGCAACUCCUAUCAGCCAUAUUUGACCAUCAAUGGACCGACCCCCUUUUCAGCCAUAUUUGACCCUAUUUUAGCUCUGUUUGAUCCACAAUGGAUUGUCCCUUAUUUCAACCAUUUUUGGCCAGCAAUGGAGCAACUCCUAUCUCAGCCAUAUUUGACCAUCAAUGGACCGACCCCCUUUUCAGCCAUAUUUGACCCUGUUUUAGCUCUGAUCCACAAUGGAUUGUCCCUUAUUUCAACCAUUUUUGCCAACAAUGGAGCGACUCCUAUCUCAGCCAUAUUUGACCAUCAAUGGACUGACCCCCAUUUCAGCCAUGUUUGACCAAUAAUAGACCGACCCCUGUUUCAGCUAGGCUUAACCCCGCUGGUUCUAUGAUACAAACUUCCUAUCUUAAAGUGAUCUACAUUAAAAAUUUCUGGCAAAAGUCCGUAUUAAUUUAUGUUAAUUUAUGUUCCAAACACCAGAUUAAUUAAUUAAGGACAAAAUUAUUUUGCUAAAUUCUUCAAACUUUUAAAAAUUGAUCGGAACAAAGGCAGCAUAAUUCAACAGAAAUAUUCUAGUCAUGUCAUCUAGAUUCCAUCAUGUUUGUCUUAACCAAACCUGUCUGAGACCAUCACUGAUUCUGUGAUAUAAACUUCUUGUUUCAAAGUGAUAUAAAGCAAAACUUUCCAUCAAAAUUUCAUUUUAAUUAAUGUUCCAAACAUUCGCUGAAAUCAUGACAAAAUUAUGUUACCAAAUUCUUCGGUAUUUUCAAAAUUAAUUGGAAAAAAAGUCAGUGUAUUUCUCCAGGAAUAUGGUAACGAAGGGGUUGAACACAUUUUGUCAAUAAUAAAUUCAACACAAACCUAUCGUCAGCACAAUGUAAGUCUAUCAUAAACAAGGCUGUUUCUUACAGACCAAUAUCAUCUCACAGCCUGAAGAUGUGGCUGAGGUAGUCUAGAAAGGCUGAUGACAGAUUUAGGGAGCUUAUUGUUUUGAACAAACUGUAAAAGACUCGUCUGAAAAUAUGAGAAUAAAAUGAAUCUGGGUUGUUUCUUGUUCCAAACGAGAAAAAAAACUGCAACAGACUCACAUGAAAAUAUAGAAAAAUAAAUUUUAAUAAAAGAUAUAAAACUGUAA